rnacentral:rRNA from 1 species
GAUGAACGCUGGCGGCGUGCCUAAUACAUGCAAGUCGAGCGAACAGACGAGGAGCUUGCUCCUCUGACGUUAGCGGCGGACGGGUGAGUAACACGUGGAUAACCUACCUAUAAGACUGGGAUAACUUCGGGAAACCGGAGCUAAUACCGGAUAAUAUAUUGAACCGCAUGGUUCAAUAGUGAAAGACGGUUUUGCUUUCACUUAUAGAUGGAUCCGCGCCGCAUUAGCUAGUUGGUAAGGUAACGGCUUACCAAGGCGACGAUGCGUAGCCGACCUGAGAGGGUGAUCGGCCACACUGGAACUGAGACACGGUCCAGACUCCUACGGGAGGCAGCAGUAGGGAAUCUUCCGCAAAGGGCGAAAGCCUGACGGAGCAACGCCGCGUGAGUGAUGAAGGUCUUCGGAUCGUAAAACUCUGUUAUUAGGGAAGAACAAAUGUGUAAGUAACUAUGCACGUCUUGACGGUACCUAAUCAGAAAGCCACGGCUAACUACGUG